GACGAACGCUGGCGGCGUGCUUAACACAUGCAAGUCGAACGGAAAGGCCCUGCUUUUGUGGGGUGCUCGAGUGGCGAACGGGUGAGUAACACGUGAGUAACCUGCCCUUGACUUUGGGAUAACUUCAGGAAACUGGGGCUAAUACCGGAUAGGAGCUCCUGCUGCAUGGUGGGGGUUGGAAAGUUUCGGCGGUUGGGGAUGGACUCGCGGCUUAUCAGCUUGUUGGCGGGGUAGUGGCUUACCAAGGCUUUGACGGGUAGCCGGCCUGAGAUGGUGACCGGCCACAUUGGGACUGAGAUACGGCCCAGACUCCUACGGGAGGCAGCAGUGGGGAAUAUUGCACAAUGGGCGGAAGCCUGAUGCAGCAACGCCGCGUGCGGGAUGACGGCCUUCGGGUUGUAAACCGCUUUCGCCUGUGACGAAGCGUGAGUGACGGUAAUGGGUAAAGAAGCACCGGCUAACUACGUG
rnacentral:rRNA from 1 species